rnacentral:rRNA from 1 species
GGNNNUAGNCGUCUGUANCCUGGUGUGUAGGCUACGCUUACCGUAGUUUGCGCUGGGAACUGCUGGACUAGAGUUCAGAAGGGGAGAUAGAAUUCCUGGUGUAGGGUGAAAUCUGUAGAUAUCAGGAAGAAUACCGGUGGCGAAGGCGAUCUCCUGGUCUUGGACUGACGCUGAGGCGCGAAAGCGUGGGGAGCGAACAGGAUUAGAUACCCUGGUANUCACGCUGUAACGAUGUGCACUAGGUGUUGGGGCGCUGAAGCCUCGGUGCCGAAGCAAACGCGAUAAGUGCACCGCCUGGGGAGUAUGCUCGCAAGGGUGAAACUCAAAGGAAUUGACGGGGGCCCGCACAAGCGGUGGAGCAUGUGGUUUAAUUCGAUGAUACGCGAGGAACCUUACCAGGGCUUGACAUAUACCGGGAGUCGUGGGAGACCACGGUGCCUCUUUGAGGCCGGUAUACAGGUGCUGCAUGGCUGUCGUCAGCUCGUGCUGUGAAGUGUUGGGUUAAGUCCCGCAACGAGCGCAACCCCUGCUGUCUGUUACCAUCAGGUCGUGCUGGGGACUCAGACGGAACUGCCGGUGACAAACCGGAGGAAGGUGGGGAUGACGUCAAGUCAUCAUGGCCCUUAUGUCCUGGGCUACACACGUGCUACAAUGGCCGGUACAGAGUGAAGCGAAACCGCGAGGUGGAGCAAAUCACAGAAAGCCGGUCUCAGUUCGGAUCGGAGUCUGAAACCCGACUUCGUGAAGUUGGAAUCGCUAGUAAUCGCGCAUCAGCAUGGCGCGGUGAAUACGUUCCCGGGCCUUGUACACACCGCCCGUCACACCACCCGAGUUGGGGGUACCCGAAGCCGCUAGCCUAACCGGUUACGGCGGGCGACGCCGAAGGUAUGCCAUGGUAAGGGGGGUGAAGUCGUAACAAGGUACCAAGGGAAUNNGNG